rnacentral:rRNA from 1 species
UACAGAGGUCCCGAGCGUUUGUUCGGAUUCACUGGGCGUAAAGGGUGCGUAGGUGGCUUGAAAAGUUUGAUGUGAAAGCUCAGGGCUUAACCCUGAAAUGGCAUUGAAUACUGUCGAGCUGGAGGUUUGGAGGGGGGACUGGAAUUCUUGGUGUAGCAGUGAAAUGCGUAGAUAUCAAGAGGAACACCAGUGGCGAAGGCGAGUCCCUGGACAACACCUGACACUGAGGCACGAAAGCUAGGGGGAGCAAACAGG